rnacentral:rRNA from 1 species
AGAGUUUGAUCCUGGCUCAGGAUGAACGCUAGCGACAGGCUUAACACAUGCAAGUCGAGGGGCAUCAUGGUAAGUAGCAAUACUUAUUGAUGGCGACCGGCGCACGGGUGAGUAACGCGUAUGCAACUUACCUAUCAGAGGGGGAUAGCCCGGCGAAAGUCGGAUUAAUACCCCAUAAAACAGGGGUCCCGCAUGGGAAUAUUUGUUAAAGAUUCAUCGCUGAUAGAUAGGCAUGCGUUCCAUUAGGCAGUUGGCGGGGUAACGGCCCACCAAACCGACGAUGGAUAGGGGUUCUGAGAGGAAGGUCCCCCACAUUGGUACUGAGACACGGACCAAACUCCUACGGGAGGCAGCAGUGAGGAAUAUUGGUCAAUGGCCGAGAGGCUGAACCAGCCAAGUCGCGUGAAGGAAGAAGGAUCUAUGGUUUGUAAACUUCUUUUAUAGGGGAAUAAAGUGGAGGACGUGUCCUUUUUUGUAUGUACCCUAUGAAUAAGCAUCGGCUAACUCCGUGCCAGCAGCCGCGGUAAUACGGAGGAUGCGAGCGUUAUCCGGAUUUAUUGGGUUUAAAGGGUGCGUAGGUGGUGAUUUAAGUCAGCGGUGAAAGUUUGUGGCUCAACCAUAAAAUUGCCGUUGAAACUGGGUUACUUGAGUGUGUUUGAGGUAGGCGGAAUGCGUGGUGUAGCGGUGAAAUGCAUAGAUAUCACGCAGAACUCCGAUUGCGAAGGCAGCUUACUAAACCAUAACUGACACUGAAGCACGAAAGCGUGGGGAUCAAACAGGAUUAGAUACCCUGGUAGUCCACGCAGUAAACGAUGAUUACUAGGAGUUUGCGAUACAAUGUAAGCUCUACAGCGAAAGCGUUAAGUAAUCCACCUGGGGAGUACGCCGGCAACGGUGAAACUCAAAGGAAUUGACGGGGGCCCGCACAAGCGGAGGAACAUGUGGUUUAA